GUCGAUAAUACCCACAGUAGAGUCAGAUGAAUGAUAAUAAUAAUUUGUGCAAUGUUAAUUCCCUUUGAAGAUGAAACAACGAACAGGCAACACCCACCCGCGAGUCUAUAAAUAAUAUAAACACGCCGUCGACUCACAUAACCUUCAGACGGAGAACCUGAAAGGAUCGCAGCCUCACUUUCUAAACAAAGCAAUGGCGCCAGGCGAUGUUAUGAACCCCCACUACGGGUGGGGGUUGAAGAAAAAUCCCCACCUGCUGAAAGAAUACACUGAGAAAUAUGUAGGAAAGUCACUGCACCACCCCUCUGCAUUGCUGUCCACUGCCAAGCAUGGCUCAGCUGAGCAGGUGGUGAGGAAGGUGCUCCUAACCAAGGCAAUGUGUGAAAUCUUCGUUAUCUUGGCUAAUGGUCAAAGGUGUCAGAUGCUCCUAAGCGCCAUGCAGCUGCAAGUAAUGAUUGUGAGCAUUUUCAAAGAGGAAGUGCUGAAAAUGCUCAUCAAAAAAGGAUACAAUAAGGAUAAUAUCAGGCUGGUGGCUGAUGACAAGCCACUGGAUGAUGACUCUGCACCAGUGAAAAAAUACGGGAUCAAAGCCGGCUCAACUGUACAGAUGACAGACAACCUGGAAAGAUCACAUGUUCCCCGCCUAAACAAGGAAAAUUGUAAACUCGGCAUUAUCUUGCCUGAUGGUCGGAGGGUGUCGAUGAUGCUGUGCCCCGGACAACUGCAGAGUAUGACUGUAAGCCAGUUCAAAGAGGACAUACUGAGAGUGUGGGCCAUCCAUGGAUACACUGAGAAACAUGUCACUCUGCAAGUUGAAGGCAAGACACUGGACAACCCCUCUGCAUUGCUGGCUGAUUGCGGAAUCAAAGCCGGCUCAAUUGUGCAGAUGUUUUUAGAAGUCUUCAUUAUCUUGCCUGAUGGUCGGAGGCACGUGAUGCCUCUGAGCGCUAAACAGCUGCAAGAAAUGACUGUGAGCCUUCUCGAAGAGGAAGUGCUAAAAAUGCUCAUGAUGAAAACUGUUGUAGGAUACACUAAGGAUGUUUUGAAGCUGCACAUUGAUGGCAUGCCACUGGACAACGGCUUUGUACUAAAAAUCAAAGCCGGCAAAAAAGUGCAGGCGGUGAUUAUGGUUCACGGAGGAUGAAGGAGUCCAUCAUGAAUUCAUGUGACUACAUCAAAUUUACAGGAUAUACCGAACCAUAAAUACAUGUAAAGAACAAAACAAAAAAUUCUGAUUGAAGUAUUGCAUCUAUGGCUUUCCUUCUCCUUUGUACUUUCUUCACAUUUUACGCCUCCUAUCAUACCUAUAGUCAGCACUAAUUCAGUAUUACAUAUUAAUAAUGAUUAAUUGAGGUGCAAAAGUUUUGUUUUAUUUUAUUACCAAGUUUCUGGGGCUUCUGUUUUCGCAGUCAGAGGUGUGUGCCUGAGAUGACAAUAUUAGCUCAUAUUAUUAUUGUUACAGGAAGAAAUUAGAAUAAAUGUAACGAUACACAGACGAACCUCCACAAAGUAAAUACUGAAACAAACGAACACAUUGAUUGUCAAUUUCCUAUGUGAUACAUUAUCUUUUUACAAUGUACAUGAAUAAAUGCACAUCACCAAAUGUUAUUGGUUGGCUCACUGAUGUCUGUAUGUAAACAUUGUGAUUCACAAAUGAUCCUAGAUUAUAUUUUAAAACGUAAUUGUUCAUUUUCUGUGACAUGUUUUGUUCAGUUAACAAUCACAACAAUUAAGUAAAUCUUUUUCAGAAUAUGUUUAAUGACUCAAAGCUAAAUGUGGAAGAAAUAAAUAGGAAUCUGGCUUCCUCGUGGUUUGCAUCAUUUAACUUUGAUAAAAUAGAAGACUGUCUCGGAGAAAUCAGACUGUCAAUGAAAAAAUUAAAUGCAAAACGUUCCAUUAUGUAACCUCAAAGAAACGUUCUCUGAGGAAAUUUCCACCUUAUCCUGAUUAUUAUAUUAGUUUAGCUGUUUCUGUAAAUACUUUAAAAUCAACAUUGGGACAACUAAACCACAUUUUCCAAUAACAAAUUUAAAGAAGAGAUCAUAUUUUACAUGAUGAUUUUUACUUAUCUGCAUGGGCUCUAAGUAACGUCAUGGCAGGAAGAAAGAAAAAUCUACAAGCUUAUAUCAAAUGAGGUGUUGCUAACUUGUUCAAAUCCUGGCGUUGGAGCUUGGACAAUUCAGGCCAAUAUUUUACUCAAAUACAUCAGGCCACAUUUAAGUAUUUUGUUAUGAUCUUUAAUUUGAGUUUCUAGUUAUAAUCUUAAUUAUUUUUACCCUUUGCUCUUUUCACCACACCAAACCAAUAAAGGACCAAACUGCCUGUCCAUUUCUUGCUCCACUCUCCC
ensembl:lncRNA